ensembl:misc_RNA Gm23499 predicted gene, 23499
AGAGGUAUGGUUAAGUUGGUUGUAACAUCUGUCACUCCAUUGAUUACUAGGGUUGAUUUGACUAAUAUGGGCGGCUAAUCAGGAUGUUCCUUCCUCUCUAUCUACUCUAUAUGUGUCUCUCAUGAGCUAUGUACUGGUUUGGAGAGGAUGGUGUUCCCUCAUAGAGGAAGACAGUUAUUUAGUCAAGAAUAUAUGAAUAGCUUCACUCUCUCCAAACAUCCUGUCAAAACCAAUGAGACCUCUAGUACAUGACAUUGCUCACUUAACC